rnacentral:rRNA from 1 species
GAUGAACGCUGGCGGCGUGCCUAAUACAUGCAAGUCGAGCGAACAGACGAGGAGCUUGCUCCUCUGACGUUAGCGGCGGACGGGUGAGUAACACGUGGAUAACCUACCUAUAAGACUGGGAUAACUUCGGGAAACCGGAGCUAAUACCGGAUAAUAUAUUGAACCGCAUGGUUCAAUAGUGAAAGACGGUUUUGCUGUCACUUAUAGAUGGAUCCGCGCCGCAUUAGCUAGUGGGUAAGGUAACGGCUUACCAAGGAAACGAUGCGUAGCCGACCUGAAGGGGGGAUAGGCCCCACGGAACCUGAGAAACGGUCCAGACUCCUACGGGAGGCAGCAGUAGGGAAUCUUCCGAAAUGGGCGAAAGCCUGACGGAGCAACGCCGCGUGGGUGAUGAAGCUCUUCGGAUCGUAAAACUCUGUUAUUGGGGAAGAAAAAAUGUGUAAGUAACUCUGCACGUCUUGACGGUACCUAAUCAGAAAGCCACGGCUAACUACGU